UACGUAGGGACCAAGCGUUGUUCGGAUUUACUGGGCGUAAAGGGCGCGUAGGCGGCGUGUUAAGUCACUUGUGAAAUCUCUAAGCUUAACUUAGAACGGUCAAGUGAUACUGAUGUGCUAGAGUGCAGAAGGGGCAACCGGAAUUCUUGGUGUAGCGGUGAAAUGCGUAGAUAUCAGGAGGAACACCGGUGGCGAAGGCGGGUCUCUGGGCCGAUACUGACGCUGAUGCGCGAAAGCCAGGGGAGCGAACGGG
rnacentral:rRNA from 1 species